rnacentral:rRNA from 1 species
GUCUUGACNUCCUUUGACNNCUCUAGAGAUAGAGCUUUCCCUUCGGGGACAAAGUGACAGGUGGUGCAUGGUUGUCGUCAGCUCGUGUCGUGAGAUGUUGGGUUAAGUCCCGCAACGAGCGCAACCCUUAUUACUAGUUGCCAGCAUUUAGUUGGGCACUCUAGUGAGACUGCCGGUGACAAACCGGAGGAAGGUGGGGAUGACGUCAAAUCAUCAUGCCCCUUAUGACCUGGGCUACACACGUGCUACAAUGGAUGGUACAACGAGUCGCAAGGUCGCGAGGCCAAGCUAAUCUCUUAAAGCCAUUCUCAGUUCGGAUUGUAGGCUGCAACUCGCCUACAUGAAGCCGGAAUCGCUAGUAAUCGCGGAUCAGAACGCCGCGGUGAAUACGUUCCCGGGA